UCUGCCUCUCGCUCACUCCUAUGGUUGGCUCGCAGUUAUCGUCUAUGUGAGUACUAGGCUUUAACCGCCUCUUUCCAGCGCAUGUACUUCUCUUGGUCGCCAAAUCGGAAACCCGGUCAUACAACUCGAUAAGACACACAAACUCUCCAGAAUGUGUCAAGUCGGAACAUGUUUACAUGCGUUGAGUGACCGACGUUAAUCGAAAUAAACGAGUGUUAUUGAAAAAAUAACACUUUUAACGGAAAGAUACAAGGGACUCAGUAAAGAUCAUUUUUGCCCACCUCUAGUUUCCUAUGGCAAUACAUACGUAAAAAAACCGAGUUUCCCUGUAUGAACGGUCGCAAAAACUGCAGCGAAAUUAAGCGACUGUGUGCAUUGGGUAUUAUGAAGUUCCAAAAAAGGUGUCCGUCAAAAUAGCGACGAUCGGUUAGUGACGAAUGCGGAACAGUGGACUUUAAAACACUGAAGGUUUUUAUUAUUAAUUAAACGGGUCACAGGACACCAUUGGAUAUAUUGUUGGCUUUUGGGGCAAACCCAAAGCCUCUGCGUUCCCACCCGACCGUAGCAGCCGUAGGUGUCUCCGACUGCCCCUUGGACCGGACACCGCAGGAUACUUUAGGACUGUCUACAUGUUCCCUCCCCUCCGGAAAGAUAGCUUCCUUUAAGGGAACCUAUCAACCACCACCCGCAGGGUGUUACAGUCCCACACAGGGGUUUGUAUAGACGAAUAGGAUGUCUGUUUUUCUUUUUGCGGUUCCUACCUAUAAGAGCUCUCUUAAGUGGAUCCCAGACUUAAAUGAUCCGCGAACUACUCGACGCGGUCACUGAAUAGGAUUCCCCGUGGGAUUAACAAGGCUCCCGCGAUACAAUUGCGGUUAUUUUUGUUUUUUGUGUUUUUUUGAUUUUUUUUAUUCGUUCUUUGGCUUUGAUAAUUUAAAUCCCAAGCCUCGCCCAGAAGUAAAUAAUAAAUGAAUAGAAAUAGAAUGAGAAAUAAUAAAUGAAUAUAAAUAUGAAAACGCUCGCAGUGAUUUAUUCACGUACGGCAAUAAAUAAAUAGAUUUAAAUAAGUGAUAUAAAUAAAUAAUUAAUAAAUAAAUAUGUAAGUAUAGUGUAAUAAGCCUGCAAUAGAUAAUGUGCAAUAAAUAAGUUAAUUUUUAAGAAU